UACGUAGGGUGCAAGCGUUGUCCGGAAUUAUUGGGCGUAAAGAGCUUGUAGGCGGUUUGUCGCGUCUGCUGUGAAAGUCCGGGGCUCAACUCCGGAUCUGCGGUGGGUACGGGCAGACUAGAGUGAUGUAGGGGAGACUGGAAUUCCUGGUGUAGCGGUGAAAUGCGCAGAUAUCAGGAGGAACACCGGUGGCGAAGGCGGGUCUCUGGGCCGAUACUGACGCUGAGGAGCGAAAGCGUGGGGAGCGAACAGG
rnacentral:rRNA from 1 species